GCCUGGGUGGCUCAGUUGGUUGAGCAUCCGACUUUGGCUCAGGUCAUGAUCUCACAGUUCGUGGGUUCGAGCCCCGCAUCGGGCU
rnacentral:tRNA from 1 species